rnacentral:rRNA from 1 species
GUCUACGGCCAUGCCACCCUGAACCUGCCUGGAUCUCGUCUGAUCUCGGAAGCUAAGCGGGGUCAGGCCUGGUUAAUACUUGGAUGGGAGACCACCUAGGAAUACCAGAUGCUGUAGGCA